GGCAGCGGUGCCAAAGUGGGCUGGCAGACCGAGGCAAACACAGCACAGGGCAGAGCAGAGGGUGAUCCAAAGGCUGGUGAUUUGAUUAUGUUGGCUGUGUGUGAGCAGACGUCCCUCUGUCACCUCGUGUACGGACAGACGCACUCACGCCAGUAGGAGGGGAUUGUGGGAAGGGGGUGUAGCUCUCAGAGGGUGUGCUCUACUCCUCUCUUUUCCCUUCUUCCCGCCAUCACGGCCCUCUUCUCCGUCAGUCGUCCGGCCCAGCCCGCCGCUCACUACAGGCUUCAGGAAGGAUACCUUUGCGGAUCUUCGAUGUUGAAGCAACGUGGAUGCUGUCCUUGGAGCUGAGGUAGUAGAUUGAAUAGUUGUGGGGUUGUGUAACCUCUUUUUUAAAUAACUAUACAAUCUACUGUCUUUCCCAAGAGACAGCCGAGUCAGCCGCUCGCCGACUGCCGUCUCCAAGCAAAAACACGAGCUUUCAGCAGUCUUAUUCUUGUUUUCACGCCGAGCAGGUAAAUAGGCCCAACAUUUUUAGAAAGGUGAACCUGGGGUGUGUUUGACUUGGGCUCUGACAGGGUGAGGUAGUAGGUUGUAUAGUUUGGUGGGUGGGACUGCACCCUGCUCAGGUGAUAACUAUACAGUCUAUUGCCUUCCCUGAGGAGCUCGCUGCACACUGAGGAACAUACAACACAUGCUCAUGGCUCAAGUAUGACGUUUACUGCCAGAUAUAAUAAAAAAGGAGGAGGAAGACACGCAGCAUGAUUAGUGUUGAAUUGACUGGAAGUGUUAACUUAUGUGCUUUUAAAAGAUGUACAUUUUAAUAAAGUCACAUUUGUCUUAAA